AUUUUGUGUCAGUGUGUUCUGUGUCAGUGUUAUUGUGUGUCAGUGUGUUCUGUGUGUCAGUGUUAUUGUGUCAGUGUGUUCUGAGUGUCAUGUGUUCUGUGUGUCAGUGUUAUUGUGUGUCAUGUUAUUGUGUCAGUGUGUUCUGUGUGUCAGUGUUAUUUUGUGUCAGUGUUAUUGUGUGUCAGUGUUAUUGUGUGUCAGUGUUAUUGUGUGUCAGUGUUAUUUUGUGUCAGUGUGUUCUGUGUGUCAGUGUUAUUUUGUGUCAGUGUGUUCUGUGUGUCAGUGUUAUUGUGUCAGUGUUAUUGUGUGUCAGUGUUAUUGUGUGUCAGUGUUAUUGUGUCAGUGUGUUCUGUGUUUCAGUGUUUGCGUGUUACCUGUGUCAGUGUGUCAACAUUUCCGAAUGAAAGUGUGUUCACACGUCCGCGUGUGUGUUCCUGUGUGUCAGCUUGUUCCCCUCUGUUCAUGUUCCAGCGUAUUCCCGGUUCUGUUCUAGCCCGCACGUAUCACUCUUUCCCCCUAUCUUAAUGUGUUCCCGUGUAUUCCCGGUUCACUUCUAAACAACCCCGUGUAGAAUUUUCCUGACCGGUAUUUUAAGGGUUGUUUAAAGAGCGACCCGGAUGACACCUCGGCACACGGCUGGAAGCGUGCGAACGGCGUCGUGCCUUCGUCUCCCAGCUGCAGCGUUCAGCCGGGGUUCAGCGAGAGGUCACAGCACCUGCAUCUCUUUACACCUUCUCUCCCCAAAGAUGGGCUCAUUAACACGGCAUUAACGCCAGACGCUUAUUUAUCCUGUCACGUGCUCACAAUUGGAAACAAACAGAGGAGAGAAUGAAA
ensembl:lncRNA